CACUCUGAUGGCCUAGUGGUUAGAAUGUCGGACUUGUAUGCGGGAGGUUGUGGGUUCGAUCCCCAGUCGAGUCA